UUGUCCAUCAACCAUUUGUUUCUUAACUUCAUAAUUCAUUGCAAGCCUCCAAACAACAAAGAUUAUUUGAAUGAUAAAAGAAGGAAAGAAAAGAAACAAAAUUCAUAAACGAUUCUUGACAAGAAAAUCCAGAUCCAGGUCUUUACUCACCAAAACCUUAAUGACUUGACAAAGUACGUACCUUUUAGUCUCAAACCACUAAUCAACAGUUUGAUCCAAGUCAGAUCUGGAGCACAAUCAGAGUAAAACUAACAAAAAUACAUCCAACGAAUAAAAAUUAGGUCAAAGUAUAAACAUUAAAAAGAAAAAGACCCUGAACAAGUUAAUGAGCAUCUCAAAAAGUUCAGAUUUGACUUUAAUACUUGAAUAGAAACUAAGUGGCAGCGGCUUUUAAACUUGCACCAGAAUUUCAUCAGAUUUCUCCAUAGGUUCUUCUUAUGGAAGCUUCGUUACACCCAAAAGAAGAAGAGCGACGAAUAGAGAUCUGGGUUUGGGGACUGCAGAUCUAAAAGUUUCAACAACAUCGCUGUCUGGUAAAAGUUUCAACAACAGAUCUAAUAGUAUUAUCACAGAUUCACAGAUCUAAAAGUAUUAUCACAGAUCUAAAAGUAUUAUCACAGAUCUUACAAAGAUUUAAAAAAAACGUACAAAAUAGGGUAAAAAACGGUACCGGUUCCAUGGAUGAAAGGGGAGAAGACGGUGAUGGCAAAGACAGGUUCCAUGGAUGAAAGGUGGAGGUGCGGUGGAGGUGCUUCAGUUAUGCGGUGGAGGAUCUAGGGUUUAGAGAGUGAA
rnacentral:lncRNA from 1 species